UACGUAGGGGGCUAGCGUUGUCCGGAAUCAUUGGGCGUAAAGAGCGUGUAGGCGGUCCGGUAAGUCCGCUGUGAAAGUCGGGGGCUCAACCCUCGAAUGCCGGUGGAUACUGUCGGGCUAGAGUGCGGAAGAGGCGAGUGGAAUUCCUGGUGUAGCGGUGAAAUGCGCAGAUAUCAGGAGGAACACCUAUUGCGAAGGCAGCGCGCUGGGACGUAACUGACGCUGAGACGCGAAAGCGUGGGGAGCAAACGGG
rnacentral:rRNA from 1 species